rnacentral:ncRNA from 1 species
GCAGAGUAAGUUCAUGUGCGUAAAGUGCCUUUCGGAUGGAGAGUUGCCGAAGGACGAAAAGAGAAAUCUUGCGGUACGUGAAUUGCUUCUCGCUG